rnacentral:rRNA from 1 species
UACGGAGGAUGCGAGCGUUAUCCGGAUUUAUUGGGUUUAAAGGGAGCGCAGACGGGUCGUUAAGUCAGCUGUGAAAGUUUGGGGCUCAACCUUAAAAUUGCAGUUGAUACUGGCGUCCUUGAGUGCGGUUGAGGUGUGCGGAAUUCGUGGUGUAGCGGUGAAAUGCUUAGAUAUCACGAAGAACUCCGAUUGCGAAGGCAGCACACUAAGCCGUAACUGACGUUCAUGCUCGAAAGUGUGGGUAUCAAACAGGAUUAGAUACCCCGUCCAGCUGACUACU